CCACCCUUUCCCAUGCCUCAUUUAAGGGUUGGCAGUAGACAUGAGGGUAUUUUGCUGAAGAUUUCUGCCUACCUGAGGACCUUCUGGGCUAUCUGAAGCUUCAUUUUAGCAAGAAGCAGGACAUAAUGAAUGAUCUAGUCUGGGCUGUACCCCAAGCCUGACACUGCUACCUGCUCUGCAUAGUGUGGUGACUCCUCAGCCAUGGCUCGCCGUGCACACGGGAGGUGAGGAGAGCAACUGCAGAGCUAGAAACACAGCCAGGAUUUACAUGGUGAAUGAUGUUCUAUGCCUCGCUUCCUCUACCCAGCUCUUCUGCGGUUCUUGUGCUGAACUGGAGCAUGAACCUCUGACAAAUGGGACAGUGUCACCCUUCAUCUGCAAAUGAACAACUGUAUUUGCUUGGUGUGAAUGCAUUCUCCUUUGCUAGAAGAUUGAUUAUCAAGAAAUCGUGCCUGAAAGAUUUUUAAUUUACCUUCGACAUCUAGAGGGAACUGAUGUUCAGACAUGCAAUAUGAUGAAGUACAGUCUAGUUUACAUCAGAAAACUGUUAAUCUUGCCAACUGGACCCCUAAUUAGAAAGAAGCAAAGCAUUUCUGGUGAGCGACAGAUUAACUGAGAAAUUUAGAUCACAAUUAUUCAGAAUCCUGAGUCAAAUUCAGUCAAUAACUGAGCAGAAUUAAAAAGAUCUUGAAACGCAAGCAUAUAGAAUAUACUUUGAUGCUUAAUUGCUUAUUUCUACAGGCUUUUUAAAUUAUUUAACCUUUAGGAAAUUGAAUCAAACCAUUAUAAAAAUGGAACUCUUAGUUAUUUUGUCUCUGGUUUUGUUAAGAAAUAAAUGUUUGCUU
ensembl:lncRNA